UAUGCUGAAAGGAAGGGUUCUUUUGCUUUCUCCGUGCUCCACAACCACCCUUGCUGAUGUCUUAUCGCCGAAGCGGCGCUACAGUAAUUCUAGUGCACUGUAGUCAUGCUGUAGUUUCGCGCCCACGUUCGCGACCAAUUUGGAUCAAUGGCUGCGAACGCUUUCCCAUCGCCACAUGCAUCACCUAUUCGCGCCGUGGCGCCGUGACUUGUUUGUUGCUGCGUGCCGGUGCGUGGUGCAGUGUGCAGGCUUGGUGCCAUGUGGGCCGAAACUUUUUUGUUGUAGUAGUACAUACUGGACUAGCGGUUGUACUAAAACAACAGCUGAUAGAAGUAUGCUCUAUCACCGAGUGACAAGUGACUGCGCAGCCUGUGACAACCCCUCCAACUGCUCUUAGCAUGGUGAUUUCUGGUGGCCUCGGGGGACAUUGAUGCCACUCUUUGUUCCACCGCACAUCCAGGUUCCUGGUUGCUUCACUAUUCAUCGAGGAGCGAGCACCCAACUGUCAUGUGCUCGCAAGGUGAGGACGUCUGGGCCAGCACCCCCUUUAUAUUUUCUAGGCCUGCAUGUCACUUCACAGGUUCCUAUAGUAUACUCUCAAAUUUCUCCUCCGAUGUACAGCCUUGACUAUAAAGGAAGUGGAAAAGCAAAGCCUCUCAACUGGAGUUGUCAUUAAUCUUUGUUUAGCUUUAGAGAACCAUAACACAAACGAAAAUAUUGCGUUAUACGGGAGCAACAUCACGCAUUGCAGCCAAAGCAGGUGUGCACACCUAUCAAUGGUUAUUACUGGACGGCCUGCACUGUACCUUUAGUUAUGCUUUCGCCACGCGCUAUGCUGUUAACGUUUCAUUUGAUGCUAGUAGCAUGUCCCCAGCCCAUACAUAGCGCAGGUAAUUAAUUACAGCUAUAUUGGGCUCAUGUGAGUAAAGCAACUAGUGGCGUCAGCUAUGACAAUAUUUAUUGAUGCAAGUAAUAAGCAAUGAACACCUGCAGAUGGGAAGUUCAUUCUGUAAAAAGUAUUGAUUAUGCUCGCCUCGUUGCACGUGAUUGUGAGGCAAAGAGGUCGUUUGCAGGUUGUGGGCAGUUGUCCUUAAAUCCAGUAAAAAGUCUCAAGAGCCAAGGAGCCAGAGAGGGCAUGUUUCCUCUGACAACCCUGUUUUAUAUCUUUUUGACUCUGCGAGGGGGCAGUCCUCCUCAAGGAGAGUGGAAGCCUUUCCUUUUCUCGCAAGUCUAGGGAAAUCUGGGGUGAGAUUGCACAAGCAGCUCACUUUCUCAUUCGUUCGGUUUUGUUGGUGCCCGCACGUUUUGUCAGUCACGGCUGCCAUCGCGCUGGGGUGGGGCCACAAGGUGCGCAUGCGUCGCGCUCCUGUCAAUCAUUCGAAAACCGAGUGGAGUUGUCUGCUUGCGUGGAAUGGUUGAUGAGUUUAUUCGCUUCGAAGAAUGAAUAACCGUUGCCAUAGUAGUGCUAGUAGCAGACAGGUGUGCCUAUUGUCUGCUCGUAAUGUUGUCGCUCCCCAAACAUGGUUGGCUGUGGUGGGGGUUUCAUUUGUCGAGAAUAAAACGCGACCUGCUGUCGCAGAACAUUAGCGAUGUUAAUUAUUGAAAGCAAUUGUAAUCAGUAAAAGUAAAUGUUAUGCCUGCUCGGUGAUAAAUAUAUGUGGUGUUCUUUUUUUUAAAUUGUUGAGUGAUAUGAGUGCAUUUGUUGAGAAUACUCGUUGUUUCACGUU